CAGCCGCCGCGGGAAUAUGAAGGGGGCUAGCGUUGCUCGGAAUGACUGGGCGUAAAGGGCGCGUAGGCGGAUUGUUUAGUUAGGCGCGAAAUUCCUGGGCUUAACCUGGGGACUGCGCUUAAUACAGGCAGUCUAGAGUGAGGAGGGGGUUGUGGAAUUCCCAGUGUAGAGGUGAAAUUCGUAGAUAUCGGAAGGAACACCUGUGGCGAAAGCGGCUCACUGGACCAUUUCUGACGCUGAUGCACGAAAGCUAGGGGAGCAAACAGGAUUAGAUACCCCCGUAGUCCCUGUCUCUUAUACA
rnacentral:rRNA from 1 species